rnacentral:misc_RNA from 1 species
ACCGAAGCCUGUAACCGCCUCCGGGCGUGACGGGUGGCUGGUAUCCUCCUUCUGAGGGGUGUAUGUUGCAGCUUGGGCCGGCCCUUAUGGGUCGCGAAUCCCCAAUCCUGCGGCGGACCAUCCCUUGGGCAACUCAGUGGGGGCAAUUGGAUGGCUCGUAGGCAUCUUCGGCGGCUUCGGCCCUGGAGGUGGCUCGGGCCGGGUGCUGGGCUUCGGCCCACGUCCCGACCUUUUAACUAGCUCUGAUACCUCUUCAUCGAGGGUUGCCGGGGGAUGCCUUUCGUCUUUUCGGGGCGGAGGGUCUAUCCCGGGAAAGAUAGUUACCUGGUUGAUUCCGCCAGU